CUCGCCUACAUGAAGCUGGAGUUGCUAGUAAUCGCGAAUCAGAAUGUCGCGGUGAAUACGUUCCCGGGCCUUGUACACACCGCCCGUCACACCAUGAGAGUCGAUAACACCCGAAGCCUGUGAGCUAACCUUUUAGGAGGCAGCAGUCGAAGGUGGGGUUGAUGAUUGGGGUGAAGUCGUAACAAGGUAGC
rnacentral:rRNA from 1 species